CAGUCGCCGCGGGAAUACGAAGGGGGCUAGCGUUGCUCGGAAUGACUGGGCGUAAAGGGCGCGUAGGCGGUUUGUACAGUUGGAUGUGAAAUUCCUGGGCUUAACCUGGGGGCUGCAUUCAAUACGUGCAGGCUUGAGUGUGGAAGAGGGUUGUGGAAUUCCCAGUGUAGAGGUGAAAUUCGUAGAUAUUGGGAAGAACACCGGUGGCGAAGGCGGCAACCUGGUCCAUGACUGACGCUGAGGCGCGAAAGCGUGGGGAGCAAACAGGAUUAGAUACCCGCGUAGUCCCUGUCUCUUAUAC
rnacentral:rRNA from 1 species